AUCCAACUUGACAAUGGAUGACCUGGUAUCUGGGAGCUGAUCUUUUAGAAUUGAAUAUACCUUCUUCCAGAGACCUUGACCAUGGCCUUGGGUGUAAAA